GGGUAGCCGGCCUGAGAGGGCGACCGGCCACACUGGGACUGAGACACGGCCCAAACUCCUACGGGAGGCAGCAGUGGGGAAUAUUGCACAAUGGGCGAAAGCCUGAUGCAGCGACGCCGCGUGAGGGAUGACGGCCUUCGGGUUGUAAACCUCUUUCAGCAGGGAAGAAGCGAAAGUGACGGUACCUGCAGAAGAAGCGCCGGCUAACUACGUGCCAGCAGCCGCGGUAAUACGUAGGGCGCGAGCGUUGUCCGGAAUUAUUGGGCGUAAAGAGCUCGUAGGCGGCUUGUCACGUCGGUUGUGAAAGCCCGGGGCUUAACCCCGGGUCUGCAGUCGAUACGGGCAGGCUAGAGUUCGGUAGGGGAGAUCGGAAUUCCUGGUGUAGCGGUGAAAUGCGCAGAUAUCAGGAGGAACACCGGUGGCGAAGGCGGAUCUCUGGGCCGAUACUGACGCUGAGGAGCGAAAGCGUGGGGAGCGAACAGGAUUAGAUACCCUGGUAGUCCACGCCGUAAACGGUGGGCACUAGGUGUGGGCGACAUUCCACGUCGUCCGUGCCGCAGCUAACGCAUUAAGUGCCCCGCCUGGGGAGUACGGCCGCAAGGCUAAAACUCAAAGGAAUUGACGGGGGCCCGCACAAGCGGCGGAGCAUGUGGCUUAAUUCGACGCAACGCGAAGAACCUUACCAAGGCUUGACAUACACCGGAAAGCAUCAGAGAUGGUGCCCCCCUUGUGGUCGGUGUACAGGUGGUGCAUGGCUGUCGUCAGCUCGUGU
rnacentral:rRNA from 1 species